UUGACCUCGGAUCAGGUAGGGAUACCCGCUGAACUUAAGCAUAUCAAUAAGCGGAGGAAAAGAAACCAACAGGGAUUGCCUCAGUAACGGCGAGUGAAGCGGCAACAGCUCAAAUUUGAAAUCUGGCUCUUUCAGGGUCCGAGUUGUAAUUUGUAGAAGAUGCUUUGGGUGUGGCUCCGGUCUAAGUUCCUUGGAACAGGACGUCAUAGGGGGUGAGAAUCCCGUACGUGACCGGUUGCCUCCGCCCGUGUAAAGCUCUUUCGACGAGUCGAGUUGUUUGGGAAUGCAGCUCAAAAUGGGUGGUAAAUU
rnacentral:rRNA from 1 species